GACGAAGGGGCGAGCGUUGUUCGGAAUCACUGGGCGUAAAGGGCGCGUAGGCGGCCUGCUAAGUCGAACGUGAAAUCCCCGGGCUCAACCCGGGAACUGCGUCCGAUACUGGUUGGCUUGAAUCCGGGAGAGGGAUGCGGAAUUCCAGGUGUAGCGGUGAAAUGCGUAGAUAUCUGGAGGAACACCGGUGGCGAAGGCGGCAUCCUGGACCGGCAUUGACGCUGAGGCGCGAAAGCCAGGGGAGCAAACGGG
rnacentral:rRNA from 1 species